UACGGGGGGGGCAAGCGUUGUUCGGAAUUACUGGGCGUAAAGGGCUUGUAGGCGGCCAACUAAGUCAGACAUGAAAUCCCUCGGCUUAACCGGGGAACUGCGUCUGAUACUGGAUGGCUUGAGUUUGGGAGAGGGAUGCGGAAUUCCAGGUGUAGCGGUGAAAUGCGUAGAUAUCUGGAGGAACACCGGUGGCGAAGGCGUCAUCCUGGACCAACACUGACGCUGAGGAGCGAAAGCCAGGGGAGCAAACGGG
rnacentral:rRNA from 1 species